UACGGAGGGAGCUAGCGUUGUUCGGAUAUACUGGGUGUAAAGCGCACGUAGGCGGCGUCGUAAGUCAGGGGUGAAAUCCCGGAGCUCAACUCCGGAACUGCCUUUGAAACUGCAAUGCUAGAAUCUUGGAGAGGCGAGUGGAAUUCCGAGUGUAGAGGUGAAAUUCGUAGAUAUCGAGAGGAACACCGGUGGCGAAAGCGGCCUUCUGGACGAGGACUGACGCUGAGAUGCGAAAGCGUGGGGAGCAAACAGG
rnacentral:rRNA from 1 species